CAGCCUGGCAUCCACACUCGCAGCUCUGCUGACAGCCAGCACAGAAAGGAACCAGCAGGGAUACGGGAACAGAGGCACAGACAUCAAGCAGGGUUCAAGAAAGUGCAAGUGGGUGCAACACACACACACACCAACACACAGACACACACACCAACAGACACACCAACACACAGACACACGCAAUACAGACACACACAACACAGACACACACCAACACACAGACACACACAACACAGACAUGCACAACACAGACACAUACCAACACCAGACACACCAACACAGACACACAUAACACACACACCAACACACACACACAACACACACCAACACAGACAUACACCAGUACCAGACACACCAACACACAGACACACAUAACGGAGAUACACAUCAACACCAGACAUACAAACACAGACACACACAACACAGACCCACACCAAUACCAGACACACCAACACAAACACACACAACAAAGACACUUAGGUACAAACACACACACCAACACACAGACACACAUACACCAGCACAGAGAUACACACCAAGACAUUCAUACAACACAGACACACACGCACAAAGAUACACACAACACACAAAACACACAAACACACAGUCAUAUCACAAACACGGAGACACAUAUGCCUACACAUGCACAGACACGCAUGCUAACGCCUUCCAAUAUGGCAGCCAAGGGGCUCUUGCUGUGGUCAGGGAAGAGGGGGAGGGAGCCUGGCCAUCCACCGUGGGGAGGACAUGCAGCGCGCAUCGUGAGGACUCCAGACCCCUGAGGGUGGUAGCAGCAGGAGGGCAACAGAGGAUCCUAGAGUUGCUGCACCUGGGGGCAGAUCCAGUUGUUACAGGGCCUGAGCAUUCUACAGCUGGUGGGGAAACCCUCUUUGUGCCCUGCACAAGUGGUAAGCACUUAGAAGACAUCCCUGAAGGAGGGAGAGAAAGGGAGGGAGAGGGAGGGAAAGGGAGGGGGAGGGAGGGCAGAGCCUACCAGGAAGCCUGGAGGAAGCCUGCGACCUGGGACCCAGGUCAGCUCCCUGACCCAGGCCAGUGGGUGAACUGACAAGUGACAGAGUCUGGAUUUGAACCCAGGGACUCGGCUGCCCAUGUUCUUAACCUGCGUCACCUAUCUGCCUCUCUCAUACUGACUCAAUGUAGCUCAAACAAGUGUAAAGCAAGAGCUUCCAGCACAAACAGUGGGCUUCGGGCUCAGGCCUCCAGAAACACUGCCUGGGGUGGGAGCCUGGGCGCUGGGCCAGCUUCCACCCAGAUGGGGAGAAGGGAAGGGCUGCCUCAUCUGCAGAAACGAGUCUCUUCUGUUCUCUUCUCCCCACCCCUAUCUACACCAAGGUGCAUUCAUGGAUCGCAAGGUUUCUUACUAAUUUUUUGUUUCAUUCACUGGUGUCUUUUAUUCCUUGUUCUAAAUUACUUUUUUUAAUUUUUACUUUUAUAGAGACAGUCUCACUGACACCCAGGCUGGAGUGCAGUGGCACGAUCAUGGCUCACUGCAGCCUCAAACUCCUGGGCUCACACAGACACACACUCAAUACAGACACACACCUGGACUCAAGGGGCCCUCCUGCCUCAGCCUCCAGAGUAGCUGGGACUACAGGUGCACACCAAUGCCCAGCUAAUUUAUUUUUAUUUUUAUUUUUGUAGAAACGGGGUCUUGCUAUGUUGCCUAGGCUGGUCUUGAGUUCUCGGCCUCAAACAAUCCUCCUGCCUCAGCCUCCUUAAGUGGUGGGAUUACAAGCAUGAUUAAUUAUUUUUAAAUAAGUGACUUGAUUAUUAUUGUUUUGUAAAAAUCCUCUUAGUCACCUUUGUCCCUAUAGGUUUCUAUAGGUGCUUAAUAAUUUUUUAAAGGUAUUUACCAGUUCUGGCUAAACAUUCCUUUGGUCCUGAGCUCUGUGGAGAGGUAAUGCAUCUGUGGGAACAUCAUCACCCUCAUCCCCAACCCAUCACCCCCAGGGGAUGGGGGGGAACGGGGGUAUAUUUUGUGUGUGUGUGUUUUGCUUAAGUAGAGUGGUCAGCCCUGAGUGUACAAUAGAAUCACCUGGCUGUCAUUAUAGACAUACCUGAGCUCAAGCCCUCUGCAGACAAAGUAAAUCAGAAUCCUAGGAAUGGGACGAGCUUGUUGGCAAGGGUUGGGCAUCAGUACGUUUUACAAAGUCCUGAGGGGAUUGGGUGACCAGGAUUGGGAUCCACUUAAGGGAAGUAAUGCUGGGGACUCUGGGGACCCUUUAAUGGCAGGAUUAUUCUUUGAUGAAGGACCUGACCUUCUCCUGGAAGUUGAGUGUGAGCCUUUUCACUUUCACCCUCGACUUCCCUCUCUGGGGACACCCAGUGUUCUGGCCCAGACUGUUACCUGAGAAGUUUCUGUGAUUCCCCAUCCUUCCUGCACUAUCUUGGCUGUUCCCCUGCCCGGCGUUUAUAUUUUGUCUCCAGCUGUCCCCUGUGCUCUCAAUCCCACUUCUCUUUGGCUCUCUCUUUGCUGCAGCUAACCAUCCUCUUGCCCCUGCCCCAAAGUGACCCAUGAGCCAGAAGUCAGGAGUGAAGGGGGGCACUGUGACAUCAGAAGUUGCCAUGCACCCCCUCCUGAAUCUUCUGCCCUGCUCUCUUCCUCCUCUGCAGGCUCAGCGGUCACCAGCAAUGCAGUCCUCAAACACGGACAUUAGAGUGAUUAUUCCCACCCCCAAGAGUGAACACCUACUAUGUGCUGGACCCUAGACCAAACACAUACACACAUAAAGAUACACAACACACACACAUGCACACACACACACCCCAACAUGCAUGACCUCAUUUGAGAUCUCUGAUCAUUUCAACAAGCAGUUACUCUGGCCCAGACGCAGCCAACUACAGAGAUAGACAAGACCUGUGGUCUCUUUCCUUAGUGCCAGAAUCUCCUAGAAGGUCUAUUAAGACAGAUUGCUGGGUCCCACUCCCAGGGUCUCUGAUUCAGUAUAUGUGGGGUGGGGCCCAAGAACUUGCCUUUCUAACAAGCUCUCAGCCUUCUUCUGAAAUAAAAUCCUCUUUAGAUAAGCUGGAGAGAGAAUGGCUGUCACUAACAGGCUGUUGAGAAUUAGCCUCCUUCUCCCCAACUCCAUUGACCGGCCAGUGCUUGGCAAUGGAGAGAGCGAGCAGCUUCUAACCUCCCCUGUGGCCCCAACCGUGAAAAAGUCCCCAAGAUGCCAGGAGGACACAGUGCAGAGCAGGCUGUAAAGUCUGGCAGUUUAAUUGCAGUCAUCAACUCGGGGCAGCACCAGGAGACAGGCUGGACUUGCUCUCCCUGUGUUAUCAUCAUGCCCUGUUGACAAUCCUUUGAAAUGUCUCUCCCUGUGUCUGUUCCUUCUGCUCCUCUCCACUCCCCCACCACCUCUCCAAUCCCAGAGUUCAACCUGUCCAGCCAGGAAUGUAAAGUCCCCUCACUUCUCUGCAACCACAGCAAGCACUUGAGCUUCCUCCAAAUCAUACUGACUCAAUCAUAUAUUUCCCACGAUCUCCUUUUCUUCAUAGUUCUCUAUAAUCUUCAGAGAGAGGUGCAUUCUAGAAAAAGGCCAGGCAGAAAACACCUGUGUUUCAGCCUCAGUUUUAUCAUUUAGUUGUAAGAAAACAUACAUCAAGUGGAUCCCCAACAAAAAUCUACCUCUCCUCACUGCCCACGAGUCAGUACCUAGAGCCUCAGGCAGAGCCCUCAUUGCUGCGGUUCUCAAAAAGCCUUUCUCUAUCCUCCCCUCUCUCCAGGCUCUAGUUCCUCUUCAACUCCAGCCCUAAACUCCCUGAAUUCAUUCUCGCUCUGGAGCUCCCGUGUCAGCGGAGCCAUGCCUUCAACCUUUCCAUGGGCCCCUAUUUUGUGGCUCAGUGUCCCUGAGCCCUGAGUAUCUCCAUUCAGUUCUUCAAACAAGUUCUAGACAAGGGAAGGAUCUGAGCAAAGUCACGGAGGUGCGGGACAGCCUGGGCGUCUGGAAAUGCUACGGGAAAUGCACAGGUGAGGGGGAUGGGGGGGAGUUGGGGUGGGCCAGUCUGACAAGGUUCUGCUCUCUCUCCCAGCAAGUCUGGGGAAGACAGUGGACAUCUUUGAGUGCACAGGCCAGGUGUGAAGUGUAGCGGAUGAGCAGGGGACCUCCCCUGUGGUUCCACAAGAACCUCCAAAGACUCACCCCAGAAGUCUUCUGCAGCUUGAAGUGACUCUCUGAGCUGCUUAUACCUAGCGCUGAUGUGCAAUGGGCCAGGGCCCGGCAGGGAGCCAGACCCUCGGACUCGAGAAAGCCAUUUGAGAGUGACAUCAGCCCACCACCUGCUAGUGCGCACUCACAGUGUUUCCGGAAGCCAUGAUGCUAAUCAUGUCUGUUUCUGUGUUGUCCAUGGCAAGACUCCAAGCCCAGAAAAGAAAAUCUGUAGCCCAAGUUAUUUUCCUCCCACAGGGCUUGCCUGGCCUUUGAUUGUUGGCUUUGGGGAGGUGCAUUUCUCCCUCCUCUGUGGGCAGCAAAUUCCCCGUGAGUCAACAGAUCCUGUAUCUGGGCUCACCAUGGGCUUCUACUGGCACUGAGAAGGGGCAAGCUGAGCAAACAUGCAAUGUGACCCCAGUGCUGACCAACCCAGAGAUGCCCCAUGGGACUCAGGGACUUGACCUCAGUGCUUCUGGGGUCCCUCAGUGUAUCUUGCUGGCCUCAGCACUGGGCUGCUUGGUAACCUCCCCACAGGCAGGUACUAAGUGCAGCCAGCCCCUUCAUUCAAGGCAGAAUGAAUUAAAAAGCUGGGGUUCCAGAGUUGGCUCCAGGUCACCCAUGCACACACCCCAUGCCAGGUACUGCUCUCAACUCUUCACACACUAGCUUAUUCUGGGCUCAAAACUCCCAGGAAUACCUUCGAGGCAGUUUCCACUACUCUAAUCCCCAUUUUACAAAGUGAUGAAACUGAGGCACACAGUUCAGUAAGUUGCCCACGGAUACACAAUUCAUAAGUAGAAAAAUCAAAGUGCAAAUUCCAGAACGUACACCACUAAGAAGGGGCCACGAGGCAGCUCUCCCCACCUGAGAAUCCCCCUGAAAUCCAUGGUGAGCCUGCCCAGAGCCCCCACCCCUACCCAACUUACAUUGGCUGCUCUUCCUUUUGCCCCAGAACCCCAAAUAACUGGCCAAAUGGACUCAGGUGUAUCCCUUUGGCCUCCACGCUCAAGUUUUAUAUGAAAAAAUAAAAAAACACAGAAAAAACUCAAUGCGUUAGGUCAGUUUAUUAACUCUCCCUCUUGGUCCCCAAAUUGCCUUUCAGGGUGUUGAGCAGCUGCACACAUCACCCCUUCCUCAUGAGGUCCCCUUGGCCCUUUACCUCCAGCUGAGUAAGUCAAAGGAGGACAUAUGAUCAAACCAGGUAGUCCACCGGCUGACCUCUGACCUACAGCCUAGAACAAAAAAGAGGACCUGGGCCAAUCCAAUUAUCUCUCAGGAACGCAAAAGGAGGUAGGAAACGAACAGGCAAUUGGCCUCAGAAGCCAAAGCACAGAGGAUGCUCUGAGGAACACAAAGGCCACGAGAGGUCUUGACAAACCAAACUUCGAUGCAAAUUGGUCUAUAAACUUCUUAAGUCUCUUUGCCUGUACAGUUUGCCCCUCCCUCUCCAAUAAUGUGUCCUUAUCUGCAGAAGGAACUGAGUUUCCCAUGGUCUGGACUGAACCGAUUACAUCUUCAUAGUGUCCUUUAGCAAGCGCCUCUACCCCCUAUAAAGCAGCUGUCAUAUCUAGAGCCUUGAUCAGCUCUAGGUUUGCUUUCCAUAAAUGAUGGUGUAAAUAUUUGGAGGUACAGAAUACAGGGUUGUCUCUCCUUUUGCGGUGUUAGCAGCUAUUAAUGAUUUAUUGACUAGAAACACUAUUUAAUUAACAGUUGCAGAUUGGUAAUAUUCUCAAGCUAUCAUUUCUUUUUCAUUUUUUAUUUGGAACACCUCUAAAGGAGACACUUCUCAUCAACUGUUUGAUUUCCUUGCAGUUUAUGAGAAAGGCAACACAAAUGUUGAAUAUUUUCUCCUUUAUUGGCAGGUUUUCAAAAGAAUAUAUUGGAUAUUCGCAAACUCCAAAAGUAGCUAAAGUUAUUGAGGAUUUUUGUAGUGAACUGGUUUAAGGCAGCUAUUGGAUUUUCUGCCACUCACAACUAAAUUUAAUCCUAGCUGAUACAACACAGGUAAAGGAGGAAAAGAGGCAAAAUGCAAUGCAAUCUUUUCUCCACUGAACUAGGUGUUCCUUGAACACAGUUUAUAUCCCAGUCACUCUCACAUCUCCAGAGCCUACAGGGAUAUCCAGCUUAUAGUAUAUGCUCGAUAAACAUUUUCUGAAUUAAAGACAAGAACACAACCAUUUAGACCUAUCAAAAUGAAUGAAAAUGGAUUAUAUGAGCCUUUACUAGAACUUGUAGGUAUUGGCGAGAAAUGCUAAUUCUACCAGAUGGCUGAAAGCCCAGGCAGGAGAAUGGACACCUCAAAUAGUAAUAUAAUGGUAUAGGCCAGGUGCAGUGGCUCACACCUGUAAUUCCAGCACUUUAGGAGGCCCAGGUGGGCUGAUCA
rnacentral:lncRNA from 10 species